GUGGGGAAUAUUGGACAAUGGGCGAAAGCCUGAUCCAGCCAUGCCGCGUGUGUGAAGAAGGUCUUCGGAUUGUAAAGCACUUUAAGUUGGGAGGAAGGGCAGUAAGUUAAUACCUUGCUGUUUUGACGUUACCAACAGAAUAAGCACCGGCUAACUUCGUGCCAGCAGCCGCGGUAAUACGAAGGGUGCAAGCGUUAAUCGGAAUUACUGGGCGUAAAGCGCGCGUAGGUGGUUCAGCAAGUUGGAGGUGAAAUCCCCGGGCUCAACCUGGGAACUGCCUCAAAAACUACUGAGCUAGAGUACGGUAGAGGGUAGUGGAAUUUCCUGUGUAGCGGUGAAAUGCGUAGAUAUAGGAAGGAACACCAGUGGCGAAGGCGACUACCUGGACUGAUACUGACACUGAGGUGCGAAAGCGUGGGGAGCAAACAGGAUUAGAAACCCCAGUAGUCC
rnacentral:rRNA from 1 species